UCCCCCUGUACCUGGACCCUCUGUAUCAGCCCGCCCACCUGCACGUGUACAAUCAGACCCCUUUGAUAGUGACAGUGACCCAGAUGACCCUGAGCCUUUCCAUGGUUUUGAUGCCUCGCCCUAUACAUCAGAUGUAGAUGUUCCCUCAUCAGUUGAUACAAGUAUCACCUCCCCAGAGCCCAAAUCAGUUGAUACGAGUAGUAUCACCUCUCCCAUUCCUUCAGACUCCCAAGCACCUGCCCAUCCCACUCCAUAGCCCAGCCACCCACUCUCAUGUACCAUAUGACCAUCCCAGUAAGCAAGCCAACCACUAGAAUUUGACUGGCAUGCACCUGUGACUUACAUAAACCAGACCUCUACAUAGCCUACAUGUCUUCAUUUUGCUGGAGACUGCCCAUCAUCCUAGCCUGUUAUCUGUGAUAAAGCACACUGAAGUUAGGUUUGGAAUGCAUCCUUAUCAUGAAUGCUCUACACCUCCACCUCCAUCUCCCACAACCUAGGUAACAGCUUUGAGACUCACUAAAAGUUGGUAAGUUAUGUAAGGAAUUUCUAAAUUAAGUUUUAUACUACAUGUUAUAUGUGAUAUUAAACCACUGUAUGGUGCAUAUUACUGUAUGUAACUUACUAUGCAUAGAGUACUUACUGACAUACUAAUUAUUUUUUGUACAUUCCAGAACCCCCUGAAUGAUGUAGGCUAUGGGGCCACAUAAGACUUUGUCCAUCCAGGGUUACGAUGAAUGCAAAAUAUAAACUAAAGAACCCCCUGAAUGAUGUAGGCUAUGGGGCCACAUAAGACUUUGUCCAUCCAGGGUUAUGAUGAAUGCAAAAUUUAAACUAAAGAGCUACCAGACUGGGAUUUUAGUGUACUCCAGGAUCUAACAAAAACAUACGUACUACUACGAAGUGUGCAAUGCAUAAUAUAGUGUAUAGUGUUUAGUGUAUACCCUAAGGAUUAAGUGUAGUACAUUGUGCUUUUUAGUGUCACAAGAGUUUAAUAAAGAAUUAUACCUUCAAGAACCAUCCUUUGCCAUUGGAAUAACCACACUACACAUCAUGCAAUCUACUUGCAUGUCACACAGGUAAGGUCUCUAACUUUUUCUUAGUUUAAGGCAUAUUUCCAAGUGUCGUUCCGGCUUACGACGAUUUUCGGCUUACGACGCGCCUCAAGAACGGAACCCCCGUCGUAACCCGGGGACUGCCUGUAUUAA